ACCGCGAGAGAGGACAUUUUGAACCGGCUUUAAUAUAUAGUAAAUAAGCUUUGAUCAGCUCGAAUGAUUCCGGGUGUAUUACUAGACAAGCGAACAAGGCCUUACUCGGAUCUAAUCUAGUUACAUUUGCACCUGCGAUGUUCAAUGUCUCAUCUCUGUUCUUUCCGAAGUCUGAACCUGCACAAUGUUACUAUUGCCUCACUUUUCUGAGUAUAAAUUAUCGAGAAAUUGCAUUGAUUACCUUGGAUUUACCUUGAACAGCAUGGGAUCCACUGAAUCCAAAACGGGCAUCCCUGCUGUUUGCUCCAUCUUGUUUUUUGGUUCUGGCCUAAUAUUUAAUUUUUUAUUGCAGGCAGAGACUCAGAAUUACAGGUGAAAAUCAAGACAGACAUAUCUACAUUCAUGAUCUCGUUAGCUUUAUUUUUUCCUGAAAAAUAUUUCGCGUGCUUCAACAUCAGUUCAGUUAUUUUCCAAUAUAUGGGACAGUAGGAUACAUUUGUUUGGAUGCAACAAUUCCAAUUAAUGAAUAGUAUGAGCCCUCCAACUUUAUCUACCACAAUGUCACGUGGACAAGCAAUGGUCAGCUCGUUGGAACAAAAUAGUUUUUCCUAGGAUCCGUUAUGACCAGAGGGGUGAAUAGAUUUGGUAAAAACAACACUUAAAAUCGUGAUAGCAACAGGUGUGGUACUAUCGUUUGAAGCCUUGCACUGGUGUGCACAGACCUUAUUAAUGUCAUAAUUCAAAAUCUGCCCAAAGAUACAAGUAAAUUAUUGAGCUCCCUAGAUACAGUAAAGCAUAAUUCACCACUUAAAAGUUGUUGUAGAAGCACAAAGUAGUAGAUCGGGUCCCAACCCUUGAGCCACCUUAUAAACAAGUAAUGCAUAAUAUAAAAAACACAAAACAGUAGGAUUUACUCCAAACACUCUACCAAAGUUUGCCUACCAACAUGUUAUUGAGGAAGACACAAAAGCUUGGAUAUCUCAAAUCAUAUCCACUUUCUGAAGUCAAAAGAGUCAACUCUUGAGAUGAGUGGUUGAAGGAUCGAAAAGGGCGACUACAGGGUGUGAAUGAGAGCCACUAAAAAUUCUCAAUCUAGCACGUUACUUCAUUCUUGAACUCAAUUCAAAUCUCUAGAGGCACCAAAACACUCCAAAAAGGAACAAUUCAAUCAAGUGUCGAUUGGCUACACCAACCAAAAUCCAAAGGAGUUCUUUAGGACAAGCGAUAGUGUUGGGCACAUAUCUAGCAAUGCCGGUGAGCGGCAUUGCCGUGCAAGAUCCAUCAGUGUCGCGUGUCAGAGCGGUAGUGUCGCUUAACAAAGAAUGAUCCAAUUGACUUCAAAUUUUGCAGACAGCAAGCGUUGAAGAAGUGAUUUGUGAAGUUUGAGUAAAAAAGAUCAAAACUUUCCAGACGGAUCCAAAAACACAGACACGAUUAGGGUUUUAAUGUGUUUUUGACAUUUGAUCAAAACGAUUAGAAACCACUACAAGAACUUAAUCAGUUCAUACUAGAAGUUUGCAGUGAUCACAUGAUUGUUUCUAACCCAGAGAAAAUCCCCAAAACAUCUCUCCAACACUUGAAACCAGAAAUGAACUUAAAAUCAACUAGAAGGGUUGAGAAGGGAAGAAACAAAUCAAAACCCAAUCCAUCAGAUUUGACAUUUCUAUAUAUGAAGCGCGGACGCAAAGCUUGCACCUCGAUGUUCCACGUCAUUCUCUUUUUUAUGGUCGUUCGAUCCUAUUUCAACGUCAACAAACUGCUUUAUGUUUCCUUCGUUCAGCUACCAUCGGCCGACAAGCGAAACCGGCCUCCAUACUACGCGAUGCUUGCAGAUGAUGCUGGAAGGGAGAGAAAAAAAAGUUCCACACCUCCAGGAGCCUUACUUUGUCGUUGGCUGCCAGGAGCGUCCCCACUCUCCCUCCUCCAGUAUCCCCAUCACCUUUUCUCUCUUCCCAUGAACACAGCCGCACGCCGCCAAGAUCCCCAUUCCCCUUCUGUUACAUGAGCAGCGCCUCACAGGCGGCUCUUGACCCUUAGACCUGGCACACAGUCGUGGCGGCCUUCUCUCGGGCCAUGGGCAGCGACGCAGUUCCACCAUCUGCAAAUGUUGUAGGAAGACGAAUGCACGCCGGGCUUCAUCGUCGAGGUCGUCACCCUCUUCUACGAUGACGCCGACACAUCUCCGGCAUCGCCUCCCAGUUGCCUAUUUGGGUCCUGAAUAUUACAUGAGUCGCAACAGCUCUUCGAGGAGAGUCAUGCUUACAGCUUUGGAGCUGUCCUACCGUGACUAAUAAUAGCCAGCCAGCCCAUGGAUAAAGGUAAGUAUAUUCUCCGUUAAAUCAGGAGAACAACAUGUCAAUAUGAUGAAUAAUACUAUGCCUUGAAGGACCUAAUCGAUCAAAAAAACUGGGAUUUAGCUAAAUUAAUUGUCUUACAAAGAUUUAUACGGUUGGCUAUGAAUGCGUGGAAGAGUCUGUUGUUGACUGCCCAGACGCCCAACAAUGAAUGAUGUGGUGAAGUAACUUGAGACCUCCAUACAAAAAGAAGGGGCACAAUUGUUAAACUCAGCGUCUUUAUCAUUUGAACAAUUUGUAAACGAAAAUAGACGAGAUGCUUAUUCAGAACAUUUGCUAUGAAUGAUGGAAGCAACAACAACAAUUUUUACUAUAAUAGUGGGUGUUCAUACUCAGCUAUUCAACCAAAGUAGAUAAUAAUCUCCGCUCUUUGUUUUUUGUUGAAGGAUGUAUUAUAUGACAUUAAUCGUUUCAGCAAGUUACCUGGUGAAUAAUCUUUUAGUAAGUUAUUAGAGUGAUUGUAUC